rnacentral:lncRNA from 1 species
CCUGCUGAAUGACAUCCUGUGCAGUGCUGACGCGGGGUGCUUUGAUGACUGUUCGAGGUUGCUCUGGAGAAACAUCAUGCACUUGGACAAAGAAACUCUCCUCCUCUGAGCUCAAGAUCACCUCUUUGUCAUCUUGAACAAUGUUUUUCUCUUCUAGGUUCUAUGUUUAAAAAGAAAAAAAUGUUACUACAAAAGGCUGAACUUGAAGGGAGUAAAGGUCAGUUGCAGUGAAGAAACUCCCUUUGUUGCCUUCCCGUGAGAAGUAGCUUGGUGAUGAGAGAAAGCUGCCACCAUCUGGUCUGGAUUAAGCAAACACCCUUCUCCUCAGGCCCCUGCCAAUAAGGCAAAGCCCAGAGCGAACACAUCUCACCAGGAAGAAAAGCAGAAUGUGAUGGACUGAGGGCAGUGGGAGUGAAGGUUCUCAGGAAGACUGAAAUCUCUCCACCCCAGCCCUUGGUCUAUAACUGAUGCAAUGCUGUUGACUCAAAAGGGGGCCAAGGCAAAUACUACAGGGAUAAUUCAGGAUGUGAAGCUUCUGGGCCACCUCCACAAGAGGGCCAGCAUCACCCCCUGCUCAGUCCUGCUUUACAUCUGUGUGCUGAUUUGCACAGGUGACAGUAAAGCAAUGGACUACUAUGGGUGGCUCUUGGUAAGUUUUCCUUUACAAAACUUCAGCAGUGCUUUGUGAUAGUGGACACUAAAGUA